CGACAUUUCCUUAGUAGUGGCGAGCGAAAAGGAAAUAGCCCAAACCGGCGUGCUUCGCACGCAGUUUAUAAAGUAAAAAGUUUAUAAAUAUUUCGUUAGCAGAAUUUGCUGGGAAGCAAAGCCCUAGAGGGUAAUAGCCCCGUAAGUGAAAAUGAAAUAUCUUUUCUGUUGCUGUUCUUGAGUACCUCAAGACACGAAUGGCUUGGGGGAAUCUGCCGGAACUAACCGGUAAGGCUAAAUACUCUUAGAGAUCGAUAGUGAACAAGUACCGUGAGGGAAAGGUGAAAAGUAGCCCGGUAAGGGCAGUGAAAUAGACCUGAAACCAUAUGCUUACAAGGAGUCGGAGCCGCGGUCACGGCGUGCCUAUUGAAGAAUGAGCCAACGAGUUGAUGUAUGCUGCUUAGCUAAGCCCCCAAAGGGUGGAGCUUUAGGGAAACCGAGUGUGAAUAGCGCGUUUGUAGUAUACAUCAGACCCGAAGCCAAGUGAGCUUGCCAUGAGCAGGGUGAAUCCCGACGAAAGUCGGGAGGAGGCCCGAACCGGUUAGCCGUGCAAUACUAUCGGAUGACUUGUGGUAAGAAGUGAAAAGCUAAUCGAACUUGGUAAUAGCUGGUUCUCUCCGAAAUAGCUUUUGGGCUAGCGUCUGGAUUACCUUCUGGGGGUAGAGCACUGGAUGGUCUAAACAGGGAGAAAUCUCAUUAGACCAAUCAAACUCCGAAUACCAGAAGUAAACUUCCAGGCAGUUAGACCGUGGGGGCUAAGCUCCAUUGGUCAAAAGGGAAACAGCCCGGAUCUCAACUUAAGGUCCCUAAAUCUAUGCUAAGUACGCUUGAGGUGGUGGAAUUUCACAGACAGUGAGGAUGUUGGCUUAGAAGCAGCCAUCAUUUAAAGAUAGCGUAACAGCUCACUCACUAAGAGAUUCUGCGCCGCAGAUAAUCGGGGUUAAGCAUAGUACCGAAAUUGAGGGUUUGUGACAAGCGGUAGGAGAGUAUUCUCAUCGCGAUGAAGCCAAAGGCGUGAGCCAUGGUGGAGCGUUGAGAAGUAAGAAUGUUGGCACAAGUAACCACAAUGCGGGUGAGAACCCCGCACGCCGAAAGACCAAGGUUUCCUUGGCGAUGACAAUCAGCCAAGGGUUAGUCGGGCCUAAGCGGAUGGCGAAAGCCGCACGCGAUGGACACAUGGUUAAUAUUCCAUGACUUUUAUGUAUUGUGACGGGAGGACGGAGUCUAGUAUGUUUUGCGCAUUAUUGGAUUUGCGUUCGUGUCGUAAGGAGGGCUUCCAGGAAAAUCCGGAAGCGCGCCGCAAGGCAACUUCAAGCGAAGCGAAAAUCCGCCGGUUCGCCGGUGGAAAUGAGACAAAGCAGGCUCUCAAGAAAAUUCCCUAAACUUAAAUAUGUAAAAUCCGUACCGCAAACCGACACAGGUGGUCAGCUCGAGUAGAGCAAGGCGAACGAGUGAGAGGUCCCCAAGGAACUCGGCAAAAAAGCAGCCGUAACUUCGGAAUAAGGCUUUCCCUUUAAAAAGGAGAUAAUCCGGGGACGCAGCUAAAGUAUCUCUGGCAACUGUUUAUCAAAAACACAGCUCCCUGCGAACUCGUAAGAGGAUGUAUAGGGGGUGACACUUGACCAAUGCCAGAAGGUCAAAUACCGACGGUGUUCAGCACUUAUUUCUUAAAAUAUUUUUGAGAAAUAAGUGCUGGAUGCUGAUUGGUAUAAGCCCUGGUGAAUGUCGGCCGUAACUAUAACGGUCCUAAGGUCCAGCGCGAAAUUCCUUGUCGGGUAAGUUCCGACGCGCACGAAUAGUGUAAUGACUGGAGAACUGUCUCGGGGGCUUGCUCGGUGAAAAUACAGUACCGGUGAAGAUGCCGGUUACCUGCAGCUAGACGAAAAGACCCUAGGAGCUUUACUACAAUUUUAUAUUGAGUGUAUGUUUCAACUGCGUAGCGUAGACGGUAGACUUUGAAGUCUUGUUCUCGGAUGAGAUGGAGUCGUCGAUGAAACACCGUUCUUUUGUGAUAUGCAUUCUAAUCCGCGCGGCAAAAACGAGCGGAGACAGUAUAUGAUGGGUAGUUUUAGUGGGGCGCUAUCCUCCCAAAAAGUAACGGAGGAGCCUAUUAAGGUUGGCUAGGCGCGAAUGGAAACCGUGCUGAUAGUGUAAUGGCACAAGCCAGCUUGACUGCGAGGCGUACUUGCCGAGCAGGUGCGAAAGCAGAGCAUAGUGAACCGAUGGUCCGCAUUAGACGCGGCCAGAGAUUAUCGGACAAAAGCUACCCUAGGGAUAACAGGCUGGUAGUGCCUAAGCGUCCAUAGCGACGGCACUGUUCGGCACCUUUUGGCUUAUACGACACUGCGAUGUCGGCUCAACUUAUCCUGGGGGUGUAGAAGCUCCCAAGGGUUUGGCUGUUCGCCAAUUAAAAAGUUACGCGAGCUGGGUUCAGACCGUGUGAGACAGGUUGGUCUCCUAUCUGCUGCAGGCGUUGAUUCUUGAGAAGAUUUGUUCCUAGUAAACGAGAGGACCGGAAUGAACUAACCUCUGGUCUAUCUGCUGUCCCGCCAGGGGCACCGCAGAGUAGCUAAGUUGGGAAUGGAUAACCUCUGAAAGCAUCUAAGAGGGAAGCCAACUUCAAGAUUAGGAAUCGUUUGAGACCCCUAAGAGAUUAUUAGGUUGAUAGGCUCUAGGUGUACGCGCAGUAAUGCGUUUAGCCGAGGAGUACUAAUCCGUCG
rnacentral:rRNA from 1 species